rnacentral:rRNA from 1 species
UACAGAGGUCCCAAGCGUUGUUCGGAUUCAUUGGGCGUAAAGGGUGCGUAGGUGGCGCCGUAAGUCGGGUGUGAAAUUUCGGAGCUUAACUCCGAAACUGCAUUCGAUACUGCGGUGCUUGAGGGCUGGAGAGGAGACUGGAAUUCAUGGUGUAGCAGUGAAAUGCGUAGAGAUCAUGAGGAAGACCAGUGGCGAAGGCGGGUCUCUGGACAGUUCCUGACACUGAGGCACGAAGGCCAGGGGAGCAAACGGG